AUUGAACGCUGGCGGCAUGCUUUACACAUGCAAGUCGAACGGCAGCGCGGGCUUCGGCCUGGCGGCGAGUGGCGAACGGGUGAGUAAUGCAUCGGAACGUGCCCAGUAGUGGGGGAUAGCCCAGCGAAAGCCGGAUUAAUACCGCAUACGACCUGAGGGUGAAAGCGGGGGACCGAAAGGCCUCGCGCUAUUGGAGCGGCCGAUGUCGGAUUAGCUAGUUGGUGGGGUAAAGGCUUACCAAGGCGACGAUCCGUAGCUGGUCUGAGAAGACGACCAGCCACACUGGGACUGAGACACGGCCCAGACUCCUACGGGAGGCAGCAGUGGGGAAUUUUGGACAAUGGGGGCAACCCUGAUCCAGCCAUGCCGCGUGCGGGAAGAAGGCCUUCGGGUUGUAAACCGCUUUUGUUCGGGAAGAAAUCCUCUGGGCUAAUACCCCGGGGGGAUGACGGUACCGGAAGAAUAAGCACCGGCUAACUACGUG
rnacentral:rRNA from 1 species